rnacentral:rRNA from 1 species
UGAAUACGAGACGCUAAGGCGUUGAAGUAGUGUAUGUCAUACUUCCAAGAAAAGCUUGCACUGUCAUAGAUAAAAAACGCCUGUACCAUAACCGACACAGGUGGGUAGGUAGAGUAUACUAUGGGCGCGAGAUAACUCUCUCUAAGGAACUCGGCAAAAUAACUCCGUAACUUCGGGAGAAGGAGUGCCUUAUUUAUAAGGCUGCAAUAACAAGAUCCAAGCAACUGUUUAUCAAAAACACAGGUCUCCGCUAAGUCGUAAGACGAUGUAUGGGGGCUGACGCCUGCCCAGUGCCAGAAGGUUAAAGAAGUUGGUUAGCAAUAGCGAAGCUGAUAACUGAAGCCCUGGUGAACGGCGGCCGUAACCAUAACGGUCCUAAGGUAGCGAAAUUCCUUGUCGGGUAAGUUCCGACCCGCACGAAAGGCGUAAUGAUUUGGAUACUGUCUCGGAGAGGGGCUCGGUGAAAUAGACUUGUCUGUGAAGAUGCGGACUACCUGCACCAGGACAGAAAGACCCUAUGAAGCUUUACUGUAACUUGAAAUUGAAAUUGGACUUUAUUCGCGCAGUAUAGGUGGGAGGCGUUGAUUGUAAUCUUGCGGGAUUAUUGGAGCCAUCAGUGAGAUACCACCCUUGUAAUGUUAGAUUUCUAACUUUGAAUCAUUAUCUGGUCAAAGAACAGUUUCAGGCGGGCAGUUUGACUGGGGCGGUCGCCUCCUAAACGGUAACGGAGGCGUACAAAGGUUUCCUCUGAACGGUUAGAAGUCGUAUCUAGAGUGUAAGGCAUAAGGAAGCUUGACUGUGAGACCUACAAGUCGAGCAGGGACGAAAGUCGGUCUUAGUGAUCUGACGGUACUGAGUGGAAAGGCCGUCACUCAACGGAUAAAAGUUACUCUAGGAUAACAGGCUGAUCUCCCCCAAGAGUUCACAUCGACGGGGAGGUUUGGCACCUCGAUGUCGGCUCAUCGCAUCCUGGGGCGGUAGUACGUCCCAAGGGUUGGGCUGUUCGCCCAUGAAAGCGGUACGCGAGCUGGGUUCAGAACGUCGUGAGACAGUUCGGUCCAUAUCCGGUGUAGGCGUUAGAAUAUUGAGAGGAGCCUUCUUUAGUACGAGAGGACCGAGAAGGACAUACCUCUGGUGUACCAGUUAUCGUGCCAACGGUAAACGCUGGGUAGCUAUGUAUGGAGUGGAUAACCGCUGAAAGCAUCUAAGUGGGAAGCCCACCUCAAGAUAAGUAUUCUCAUC